rnacentral:lncRNA from 1 species
AUUACGCAAACGUUCCAAAUAUCCAUCUGUUAGUUCGGUAGGUUUCAUAUGAAAUACAGCCUGAUUACACAGUAGCCUAAAGAAAAUAGACAAACUGUACCCCGAAAUUCCUCCAUCGCAAAUGAGCUUUCGUUUACAACACGUCAACCAAUCUCAACAGCCGCAGACCUGCUGGACUACAUGCAUCAGCUGGAGCAGAGGCUGGAAGUGGCUACAGACAAUAAGAGGAAGGAAGUGGCUCUCUACUACUCAACCAGUGAAUGAUAUCAAUACCACAGAGGCUUAUGUACAGACCCAAAGCCAGGCACUCACAGUAUACAUUCUAGUCAUAUACAGUAUAGCACAUACGUCAUCACAUUCUUGGAUGCACACAAACUCAUAUUUAAAGAGACACCCUGUCUUCCUUUGCAGCUCGUGGCGAUGACUCCUAAUAUGACAAAUCGUCUGAGGAUGAGAAACCCUCUACCAGACACCCAGACUACCCUACUGGAAUGACGCCCUGGAACGCUCCUCUCACCGGAAUGUCGAGUGUCCCCAGACAGACA